rnacentral:rRNA from 1 species
AUGUCUUUUAUUAUUCCCUCGGGAAGGAAAACAAGAGCAGAGAAGGCAAAGCCAAGAAAAUGGUAUGAUGAAAGCAGACUGAAUCCAGAGCAGCAGUUUUGUUUGAAGCUAUGUUUCAAAGAUGUGUACCAAUUUAGGAGUGCUCUACUUAACUUUCACAUCAAGCAGCUGAGGUCUUUCAGAUAUCACAGGAACUGCAAAGACAGGGUCAUUGCUUGGUGUGACCACAAGGACAAAGGAUGUCCUUUUUAUAUUGUUGCUUCUCAGAUCAAGAAUGAGCAAACAUUCUGUGUAAAGAAGUUUAGAGCAGAACAUACUUGCCCAACUAGUGACAAACAUAGUAAAGUGAGCUCAAAGUGGCUAGGAAGCACUAUCUUAGAGACAAUUAGAUCAGACCCAAACACAACUAUGCCAGCAUUGGUAGACAAGGCAAAGAGGAAAUUUGGAAUUGAAGUUCCAAAGAUGAUGGCAUGGAGAGCUAAAAAGGUAGCAAAGGAAAUUGUCCUAGGAGAUCAUAAGAAGCAGUACCAUAGGUUGACUGAUUACAUUGAAACAGUUAAAAUAUGCAAUCCAGGAUCUAGAUGCUUUGUCACAACUGUCACUCCAAAAAGCACAAAUGAAAACCCACAUCCAGGUCCCAGAUUCCAUGGUCUUUUCUUUUGUCUCAAUGCACCUAGGGAGGGUUUUCUAAAUGGAUGUAGACCUUUCAUUGGUUUGGAUGGAUGUUUCAUAAAGCUUACAACUGGAGCACAAAUCCUAGCAGCUACUGGUAGGGAUGCCAACAACAUCAUGUAUCCCAUUGCUUUUGGAAUUGUAGGAGUGGAGGACACACCCAGUUGGAGCUGGUUUCUCACCCAACUUAAGUAUGAUCUGGGAGGCACAGAAGAGGGAAAGUUUGGCAAAUACACCAUCAUGUCAGAUAGGCAGAAGGGCAUGCUAAAUGCUAUCAAUGUUGUAUUUCCAAACUACCCACAAAGAUUUUGUUUAAGGCACAUUUAUGCAAAUUUUCAAAGAGCUGAAUUUAGAGGUGAAGAUCUGAAAAAAUGCAUGGACAGUGCUAGCUAUUCCUACACAAAGCAUGGUUUUGAUGUAGCCAUGGCCAAUUUGAAGAAUGAGUGUGAGGAUGCACGGAGGUGGUUAUCUGGUAUUCCAGUACACACAUGGGCUAGGCAUGAAAUGGACACCAAUUGCAAAACAGACCUGGUGGUCAAUAACAUAAGUGAGGUCUUCAAUAAAUAUAUCUUGGAUGUUAGAAACAAACCAAUAGUGACAAUGAUUAAUGGAAUCAAAGACAAGUUGCUAGUCAGGUUUGAUGGAAAAAGAGAAAGUGCAGCAACUUCUAGAUGGGAAAUAGCUCCAACAUAUGCAGAGCAGCUGGAGAUUAGCAAGAAAUAUCAAAGAGAUUGCAAAGCAAUUAGGGCAGGGCCUAACCUGUGGCAAGUAAGCAGUGGGCCAAAGACCUAUGCUGUGAACCUUGAGGAGCACACUUGUGGAUGCAGGAAGUGGGACAUGUCAGGGUUGCCAUGCAACCAUGGUUGCAGUGCAAUUUACAAGGCCAAGAUGCAACCUGAGGAUUUUGUAAGUCCUUUCUUGAGGAAAGCAAUGUAUUUGGAGGCAUACAAACCAAUAGUGUAUCCAGUUCCUGGAGAAGAUGCUUGGGUCAAGUCAGGAAAACCUGAUAUUGAGCCUCCUGUAUUCCACAAAGAGGACCAGAGUGGGAGAAAAGAAGAAAAGAGGAAGAAGGGAAGGUUUGAAGUUCCUAAACCAAAAGAUACCUCUAGGAUGGCUACAAUCAGAUGUGGCAACUGUAGGUUAAUGGGCCACAGGUUUACUAACUGUGGACAACCUUUGAGGCCUGAUCUCCAGCUGAGGAAAAAUAGAAGCAUGGUACAUAUUUCUUAG